rfam:Mosquito flavivirus isolate LSFlaviV-A20-09, complete genome
CCCCCGAAAUGUGUAUUGUGACAGGCUUGCUCGCAGCAGCAAAUCUCCACCGUUAGGAGAUUUGUUGUGAGCAUUGCUUGUC